CAGUCACAUCCUGUCGAAGUACCGGUUCCCGUACGAUCACCGAAGUUAAGCAACGUAGAUUUUGGUCAGUAUCUAGAUGGGUGACCGCUUGUGAAUAUCGGCUGCUGUAAG